rnacentral:rRNA from 1 species
CACAUGCAAGUCGAACGGUAACAUUUCUAGCUUGCUAGAAGAUGACGAGUGGCGGACGGGUGAGUAAUGCUUGGGAACUUGCCUUUGCGAGGGGGAUAACAGUUGGAAACGACUGCUAAUACCGCAUAAUGUCUUCGGACCAAACGGGGCUUCGGCUCCGGCGCAAAGAGAGGCCCAAGUGAGAUUAGCUAGUUGGUAAGGUAACGGCUUACCAAGGCGACGAUCUCUAGCUGUUCUGAGAGGAAGAUCAGCCACACUGGGACUGAGACACGGCCCAGACUCCUACGGGAGGCAGCAGUGGGGAAUAUUGCACAAUGGGGGAAACCCUGAUGCAGCCAUGCCGCGUGUGUGAAGAAGGCCUUCGGGUUGUAAAGCACUUUCAGUUGUGAGGAAAAGUUAGUAGUUAAUACCUGCUAGCCGUGACGUUAACAACAGAAGAAGCACCGGCUAACUCCGUGCCAGCAGCCGCGGUAAUACGGAGGGUGCGAGCGUUAAUCGGAAUUACUGGGCGUAAAGCGCACGCAGGCGGUUUGUUAAGCUAGAUGUGAAAGCCCCGGGCUCAACCUGGGAUGGUCAUUUAGAACUGGCAGACUAGAGUCUUGGAGAGGGGAGUGGAAUUCCAGGUGUAGCGGUGAAAUGCGUAGAUAUCUGGAGGAACAUCAGUGGCGAAGGCGACUCCCUGGCCAAAGACUGACGCUCAUGUGCGAAAGUGUGGGUAGCGAACAGGAUUAGAUACCCUGGUAGUCCACACCGUAAACGCUGUCUACUAGCUGUGUGUGCCUUUAAGGCGUGCGUAGCGAAGCUAACGCGCUAAGUAGACCGCCUGGGGAGUACGGCCGCAAGGUUAAAACUCAAAUGAAUUGACGGGGGCCCGCACAAGCGGUGGAGCAUGUGGUUUAAUUCGAUGCAACGCGAAAAUCCUUACCUACACUGACAUGCAGAGAACUUUCCAGAGGUUGAUGGUGCUUCGGGAACUCUGACACAGGUGCUGCAUGGCCUGUCGUCAGCUCGUGUCGUGAGAUGUGGGUAGUCCCGCAACGAGCGCAUCCUUGUUCUAGUGCAGCAUUAGUGGGCACUCUAGGAACUGCGGUGACAAUCGGAGGAAGGUGGGACGACGUCAAGUCAUCAUGCUUACGUUAGGCUACCACUGCUAAUGCAUUACGAGGAAGCGGGACGGGGGGGAAGGGAUCU